AACGCAUUCAAGUAGGAGUGCCUGCUGAUUUGCAUGAUGUUUUUUUACAUUCUUAUGGUGAGAAAUGACUUCA